AACGCGAAGAACCUUACCAACCCUUGACAUGUCCCGUAUGGGUGCUGGAGACGGCAUCCUUCAGUUCGGCUGGCGGGAACACAGGUGCUGCAUGGCUGUCGUCAGCUCGUGUCGUGAGAUGUUGGGUUAAGUCCCGCAACGAGCGCAACCCUCGCCCUUAGUUGCCACCAUUGAGUUGGGCACUCUAGGGGGACUGCCGGCGUUAAGCCGGAGGAAGGUGGGGACGACGUCAAGUCAUCAUGGCCCUUAUGUCCAGGGCUACACACGUGCUACAAUGGGCGGUACAAAGGGUCGCAAACCCGCGAGGGGGAGCCAAUCCCAAAAAACCGCUCUCAGUUCGGAUUGGAGUCUGCAACUCGACUCCAUGAAGUUGGAAUCGCUAGUAAUCGCGGAUCAGAACGCCGCGGUGAAUACGUUCCCGGGCCUUGUACACACCG
rnacentral:rRNA from 1 species